ACCAUCAAUAGUACACACAAACGGCUAUCGAAUUGCUAUUAUACCAUCGAGUUGACAUUUUGUGUGGUAGUUUGUAGAUUCUGAAUGGCGCGAAGAAACUUAUGGUUUUACAAAGAUGUUUUUUUUUUCUGUGGACAACUUUCCUACCAGAGAUCAUGCUCCGAUGUGGAAGAUGUGGGGAAGUACUUUGAGGAGAUAAUGUUUCG